GGAGAGGUGGCAGAGUGGUCGAAUGCGCGUGCUUGGAAAGCACGUGUAGGCGCAAGCCUACCGGGGGUUCGAAUCCCUCCCUCUCCGCCA
rnacentral:tRNA from 1 species